rnacentral:rRNA from 1 species
UACGAAGGGUGCAAGCGUUACUCGGAAUUACUGGGCGUAAAGCGUGCGUAGGUGGUUUGUUAAGUCUGUUGUGAAAGCCCCGGGCUCAACCUGGGAAUGGCAAUGGAUACUGGCAAGCUAGAGUGCGGUAGAGGGUAGUGGAAUUCCCGGUGUAGCGGUGAAAUGCGUAGAGAUGCGGAGGAACACCGGUGGCGAAGGCGGGUCUCUGGGCAGUAACUGACGCUGAGGAGCGAAAGCGUGGGGAGCGAACAGG